rnacentral:rRNA from 1 species
AACGAACGCUGGCGGCAGGCCUAACACAUGCAAGUCGAACGCCCCGCAAGGGGAGUGGCGCACGGGUGAGUAACGCGUGGGAACCUGCCCUUCGGUUCGGGACAACCCAGGGAAACUUGGGCUAAUACCGGAUGAGCUCCGCGAGGAGGAAAGAUUUCUCGCCGGAGGAGGGGCCCGCGUCGGAUUAGGUAGUUGGUGAGGUAACGGCUCACCAAGCCUUCGAUCCGUAGCCGGUCUGAGAGGAUGAUCGGCCACACUGGGACUGAGACACGGCCCAGACUCCUACGGGAGGCAGCAGUGGGGAAUAUUGGUCAAUGGAUGGAAGUCUGAACCAGCCAUGCCGCGUGCAGGAAGAAGGCCUUCUGGGUUGUAAACUGCUUUUGCCAGGGGAUAAAAUGACCUUGCGAGGUUAAUUGAAGGUACCUGGUGAAUAAGCCACGGCUAACUACGUGCCAGCAGCCGCGGUAAU